GGAGGAUUGGCCCGCGUCCGAUUAGCUAGUUGGCGGGGUAACGGCCCACCAAGGCGACGAUCGGUAGCUGGUCUGAGAGGAUGAUCAGCCACAUUGGGACUGAGACACGGCCCAGACUCCUACGGGAGGCAGCAGUGGGGAAUAUUGGACAAUGGGCGCAAGCCUGAUCCAGCCAUGCCGCGUGAGUGAAGAAGGCCUUAGGGUUGUAAAGCUCUUUUGGCGGGGACGAUAAUGACGGUACCCGCAGAAUAAGCCCCGGCUAACUUCGUGCCAGCAGCCGCGGUAAUACGAAGGGGGCUAGCGUUGUUCGGAAUCACUGGGCGUAAAGCGCACGCAGGCGGAUUGAUAAGUCGGGGGUGAAAUCCCGGGGCUCAACCUCGGAAUUGCCUUCGAUACUGUCUAUCUUGAGUACGGGAGAGGUUGGCGGAAUUCCUAGUGUAGAGGUGAAAUUCGUAGAUAUUAGGAAGAACACCAGUGGCG
rnacentral:rRNA from 1 species